GCAAAUAUGUCUAGAAAUUAGAUAAAUACUAAGGUUGAAUAUGAGAUGCCUGUUUUAUCAUUCGGAGAACCCUUCUAAAUAUUCAUUCCUUCCACUACGGAGUAUUGCUCAAGAACUUGCAUACAUUGUUAUAACUUAUCUAGGGAGCCCUGUACAUAGCUACUGAUUGACCCUGAAGGUGAAGGACAUCCAUUGAUUUUGGUAGACGAAUAUUUCGGAAUUAACAAGUUAUCAUCUAAUCCUUGCGGAUAUCCUUUUGGGCAAGGAAUCGAUCAGUUUUUUCUUUCCUUCUUUCUGGGAAGAAAAAAAGGAAAAAAGAAAAACAGGAGGAGUAAAGAGCACUCCACAGGCUUUGUUCCUCUGUAUAUUUACUCCUAUUUCAG
rnacentral:sRNA from 1 species